rnacentral:lncRNA from 1 species
GUGAACCAAUAUAUGUAUGUCUGUUUCUACUGUUACUUGCAGCUCAAUGGAACCCUGUAAUAUACAUGAACAAGUUUCUGGAAUUUAUGAGCUUUCAACACGUUUUGAGCUCUGCAUGGUUAGCCUGAAGAAAUCUUCUAAGAGUGGAGGAGGAACACGCAGUUGCUCUUUAAAUACUCUCACCUGAAGAUACUUUCCUGCCUGAGAGUUCAAACUUAAUGGAAACUAGCGAAAUUGUUUUCUCCUAAGUGUUGUGGUGAAAGGUGUGUAACUUUACUCUCAGCGGCAUCUCUUCUCCCUCCUCUCCUCUCCAGUUCCUUCCCUCCGGCUCAUUCCUCUAGAUUUACAAAUACCCUGGAAAUCAAGGGAAAUGAAGAAAAGGUAAAUGUGGCUCAUAAAUCAGCCACAAUGAGGGAGAGCUGCAUGCAAACAGGCCAGGAAAACGAGCUCAGAAUGGUAAAACCACAGAGAACCAGGAUGUCAUUUAGACCAAGCCAUCUUGUUAACCAUUAAAAUAGAGUUCAAAAAUGGUUGAGCUUAUCUAAGAUUGCGCAAGUUGCAGUAGCAGAGGUAGGUCUAAAAAACCCUUUUCCUGCCUUUUAAUGUGAUGAAGUUUACCCAAAAAUUUGUGCCAAGAGAAGAGUUUUAUUCAGAGAUUUGUGUGUGGUCAAAGCGUUGGAGGGACAGAAAAAGGUCCAAUGUCCAGUGGUUAAUGCUUGAGUGCUUUAUUGCCAGUGCAACUGGCUGCUUCUUCACUUAUUUUUAAAGUAUAACAUCAAAUUUGCCAACAGAGAACUGGUAUUGGCAGCAGCAAUUUUUUAGCAAUUUUAUUUCUCUACAAAUAAAUUAAGAGCUAAGGAGAGAUGGAUCAACAUUUGGGGGCACAAACUUACAUUUAUAUAUAGCUAUUUUGAAAUACUAUUUGCUUACACGAUAUAUGCAUGUUAAGUAGAAUUAAAAUUGUUUUUUUAUUUUUCUUUUCUGCUUUUUUUCUUUCAAACCAUCAAGAACGGACAUCUGUCCUAUAUGUUUUCACUUGAAAAUGGGAAAAGAAUUAUUUGAUACCAUAGCAUUUUAACUGACUGACAUUUACUUUGUUGUAAAAUGGCAAUUUCUUGAUCUGACUGUGUAAAACACAUUGAAGGAUUGAUUCUCAUCUCAAUUAAAUGUAU